UAUGGGAUCAUUAAAAAUUUGGGAAUAUUUUCAAAUCCUAUUGAACAGUACCAGAAGCUCUAUAUUUUUCCAGAGGAUUGUCCAGGUGCGCGAGCAAAAAGAAGGAUACCCUGGGUCCAGGCCGACUAUUCCUUCAUGCAAAUAAAAGUUGGCAAUGGGAUGGACGUAUGGUAACAGUCAACUCUACAACCACCAUACUCUACCUUGUUCAUAGUGAAAGUAGAGUUAUUAAGAGAAACAAAGAGAGACAAGGUUAGCAUAAAUAAAAACAUCAAAAAUAUCCAAAGAAAUGACAUUAAAUAUAUCCAUCGUAACCAUGCCUGCUAACCACGUAGCUGACGUCCAGGUGCGUGAAAUGAGAAGAUACGGCUGGUUCAAGGAGGAAUCUUUCGCUAUGCAAAUAGAAUCUCUGCAAGGGUCUACGUAGUUCAUUCUUACCCAGUGGAAAGAAUAGAAAAGUCUGUAUAGCAAUAGAGCCACCGGCUUUCAUCGGUAGGUACUGGAUACCUAUCCCAUCCUCAUAGACCAUAGAGACAGAUAGACAACCCUAUGGAUAAACGACGAGAGGAAGAA